GUGCUAGCUUUGGCAGAAAAUAUACUAAAAUUGGAACAAUGCAAGGAAGAUUAACAUGGUCUUUGCACAAGGAAAACAUGCAGAUUUGAACUAGUUGUAUAAGUCU
ensembl:snRNA U6 U6 spliceosomal RNA